GGCGUAGCUCAACCGGUAGAGCAACUGAUUUGUAAUUAGUAGGCCAAGAGUUCAAUUCUCUUUGCU
rnacentral:ncRNA from 10 species